GGAGUAAAAAUCUGCUUCUCUUAUUUUUUACGCUCUACUACAUCCUUCCUCAGAGAAGUCUCUAGGCUUAGUGGUUAAGGGUGAGGAGUGGACCAGGAUCAAACUCAGUCCUGAGACUGAGGUGCUGUGGCAUUUACCUCAUUCCUCUACACUGCUGUUUCCUCAUAUGAAGCCGGAGGAAAAACUCCUUAUCUCACCUUGUAGGAUCAAAUGAAAGAAUCAAAGUAGUUUACUUAGCCCAAAGGACUUCACUCCUUGGCCCAUAGUUACUUAGAUAUGUUUAGUACUUUAUAUUCCCCUUGCCUGUACAGACGACAUUCAAGAACUCUUAAAAUAUUUGUUUAGAUCUUCAGUACUGGCCAGGUAUGAUGUACCUGUAUUCACCUUGAGAAAAAAAAAAAAAAGAGACGAUUUAGUCAAUGGAUUUGGACUGGUCUUUCUUAAUCAUAAUAAUGUUUGUAAGCAUUUAUUUGUAGCUCACGAUAAACUGAUAGAGUAUUUGGAA